UACCAGGAUACAGGUGAAUCCAAUUUGGUGG
rnacentral:piRNA from 1 species